rnacentral:tRNA from 1 species
GCGGUUGUAGCUCAGUCGGUUAGAGUACCGGCCUGUCACGCCGGGGGUCGCGGGUUCCCGCCCCGUCAACCGCGCCA